CCUCAGGCUCAACUGUACUGUAAGGGUAAUUUCUGGAGUUGGGACCCCAUGAUAACUACUCCUCCUGGAUUGUACUAUCUUUCACUUGCCCAUGUUGCUUGUUUGUUUCCAGGCAUGUUUUUUGUGCAAAAGGUGUCAUCAUUUGCUGAAUUGUGUUCUACUUCAAUGCUGCGCUUUGUAAAUGGUGUUUUGGCGAUAUUAUGUGGCAUCAUCAUCUAUGAGAUAAUUACUCACUUGAGACCGACUCUUUGUAAAAGAAAAGCAGCUUUUUUUGCUGUGAUCCUAGCCCUGUACCCCCUCCAUUGGUUCUUCACUUUUCUUUACUAUACUGAUGUUGCAUCACUUACUGCAGUGCUUGCUAUGUAUCUCACAUGCUUGAAGAAGAAAUACUACUUCAGUGCAUUGCUUGGAGCCUUUGCAGUUUUCAUUCGACAAACAAAUAUUAUAUGGAUGCUUUUUGUCGCAUGCACUGGGGUAAUAGAUAUUACUCUGACCCAUCCAAGAAAAAAAGUGAAAGUAGAUGAGUUAAAUGAAUCAGUGAAGGAAACUGGCCGAUUAAUUCCUAACAAUUCUGUCUCAGCAAGCUCAAAUAUGAGAAGACGAAAGCCCAAUAGUGCGGAUGCUAGCAAAUAUUCAGCAACUGCUGCAAAUGGCUCCUCAUCAACCCAGUCUUCAGGUUUUCUUGAUGAGAUUCAGGACAUCUGUUUGGCAUCAUGGCAUAUGAAGUGGAAACUUUUCAUAUCCUUUUGCCCCUUCUUUAUGGUAUUGGUGGCCUUUGUUGCUUUUGUCCGUUGGAAUGG
rnacentral:misc_RNA from 1 species